ACGUGGGUAACCUGCCUGUAAGACUGGGAUAACUCCGGGAAACCGGGGCUAAUACCGGAUGGUUGUUUGAACCGCAUGGUUCAAACAUAAAAGGUGGCUUCGGCUACCACUUACAGAUGGACCCGCGGCGCAUUAGCUAGUUGGUGAGGUAACGGCUCACCAAGGCAACGAUGCGUAGCCGACCUGAGAGGGUGAUCGGCCACACUGGGACUGAGACACGGCCCAGACUCCUACGGGAGGCAGCAGUAGGGAAUCUUCCGCAAUGGACGAAAGUCUGACGGAGCAACGCCGCGUGAGUGAUGAAGGUUUUCGGAUCGUAAAGCUCUGUUGUUAGGGAAGAACAAGUACCGUUCGAAUAGGGCGGUACCUUGACGGUACCUAACCAGAAAGCCACGGCUAACUACGUGCCAGCAGCCGCGGUAAUACGUAGGUGGCAAGCGUUGUCCGGAAUUAUUGGGCGUAAAGGGCUCGCAGGCGGUUUCUUAAGUCUGAUGUGAAAGCCCCCGGCUCAACCGGGGAGGGUCAUUGGAA
rnacentral:rRNA from 1 species